rnacentral:lncRNA from 1 species
AAUGUCAGCACUCUGCCUUCCCCAGUGUCCUUUCCAAUGAACUUUGCUCUAAAGAUCCCUUCUCCUUUGUAUUCCACCUAGCCACACAUCCCGUUACUGCUACGCUGGCUGCUGGCGAAGGCACGCAGCGUUAUUUGGAGGUCGCAGAUGUGAAACAUCCAUUGGGAGCUGCAAUCUAGCUGGAAGAAGGACCUGAUCCUGCUUGCCACCAUGCCCCAGCAGAUCCAUUAGCUUCAGCGGGAGCUCUCCUACAUGUUCAGGACAUGCAUGAGUGUUUGUGCCACUGAGGCCUGUGUGAUGCACCAGGGGUCUGAUGCAGCCAGAAGAACAACGAAACACAGUGCUCUGACCCCACCACAUCUCUGCCUGGGCUAUUUGCAGCAAACAGAGUCU